GCGGAUGUGGUGAAAUUGGUAUACACGCCAGACUUAGGAUCUGGUGUCGCAAGACGUGGAAGUUCGAGUCUUCUCAUCCGCA
rfam:Sulfurimonas sp. RIFCSPLOWO2_12_36_12 rifcsplowo2_12_sub10_scaffold_24, whole genome shotgun sequence.